ACUCUCCAGGCAGAGAAGGAGGAGAUUUUGGCAUUGUGUCGGACUCUGCAGCCUCAUUCUCAGGAUGGGCUCGUACCUGGUCCUCGUGAUGUUAGUGGCCAUGAUCCCAGGUGUCUGCUCUGAGGUGCAGCUGAUACAGUCUGGGCCCGAAGUGAAGCAGCCAGGGACAUCCCUGAAGAUCUCCUGUAAAGCCUCCGGAUACACGUUCACCAGCAAGUACCUGCACUGGGUCCACCAGGCUCCUGGAAAAGCCUUGGAAUGGAUGGGGAGGAUUGACCCUGAAGAUGCAGAGACAAAGUAUGGACCAUCCUUUCAAGGACAAGUCACCAUGACCACCGACAACUCCAUCAACACUGGCUACUUGGAGUGGAAAAGCCUGAAGCCCUCAGACAUGGCCAUGUAUUACUGUGCUACAGACACAGUGAGAGAAACCACAUCCUGA